GCCCAAGCCAGCCAGGAAGGAGGAGGCAGCCAGAGUGUUCUCUGCAGCAGAAGACCCCUUGCUGCCCUGCUUAACCCAGACCAGCAUUUGCCAGGCUCUGAAUCCAGUUUGCAUAUUGAGCUUCCAGGAACUAUUUUCAACUUCCAAGGGCAUUUGAGCAUGAAGAACACAUUUCUUGAUGUCUUUAGCUACAAAUUGGCACUCAGCUGGGCUUGCAGUAGCAUCGUGAGGAGGGGGCCAACAUCUUAAAUCCGCUGUUUAUUACCCAGGAAGUUCUGAUCAAGUUUAUGGUUCUAAAGACUUCAACAUAUCAACUCCACUGAAGAACAGGACAAGCUAUUGUAAAUAUGAACCAUCAAAGCACCAGCCAUUUCAAUGAAAUGAAGCAAAUCAAUUGUUUUUCAUAAAGGUGCCUUUCAGAUCUCC